CCGAGUUUAUAACUCCCAAACCCCUGUGAACAUACCUAUCGUUGCUUCGGCGGAUCCGCCCCGGCGCCCUCGGGCCCGGAUCAGGCGCCCGCCGGAGACCCCAAACUCUUGUAUUUCUUUAGUAUCUUCUGAGUAAACAAGCAAAUAAAUUA
rnacentral:misc_RNA from 1 species